UGGGGAAUAUUGGACAAUGGGGGGAACCCUGAUCCAGCCAUGCCGCGUGUGUGAAGAAGGCCUUAUGGUUGUAAAGCACUUUAAGCGAGGAGGAGGGUACUGGUAUUAAUACUACCAGCUACUGGACGUUACUCGCAGAAUAAGCACCGGCUAACUCUGUGCCAGCAGCCGCGGUAAUACAGAGGGUGCAAGCGUUAAUCGGAAUUACUGGGCGUAAAGCGCGCGUAGGUGGUUCGUUAAGUUGAAUGUGAAAGCCCCGGGCUCUACCUGGGAACUGCAUCCAAAACUGGCGAGCUAGAGUAGGGCAGAGGGUGGUGGAAUUUCCUGUGUAGCAGUGAAAUGCGUAGAUAUAGGAAGGAACACCAGUGGCGAAGGCGACCACCUGGGCUCAUACUGACACUGAGGUGCGAAAGCGUGGGGAGCAAACAGG
rnacentral:rRNA from 1 species